AAUGUAAGGGUGUAUGGUGGAUGCCUAGGCUAAGAAGAGCGAUGAAAGACGCGGAAUGGCGGCGAUACGCUUCGACGAGGUGCCAAUCAACCUUUGACUCGGAGAUGUCUGAAUGGGGAAACCCAGCUGGCGUAGGUCAGUUACUCUUGUAUGAGAGAGCAAACCCAGGGAAGUGAAACAUCUCAGUACCUGGAGGAAAGGAAAUCAACCGAGACUCCGUAAGUAGCGGCGAGCGAAAGCGGA
rnacentral:rRNA from 14 species